rnacentral:lncRNA from 13 species
UCUAUGAUCUCCCUGGAAAUAGGGUGGCCUGAGAAAAACUGAGUGCUGCUAACAGCAGGAGGGUGAAUGCCAAUCACAAUGGCAGGAGUUUGGAAGAGAAGAGACAGGGCGGAGUAACGAUGUUCACUGCAGGUCACUGAACCAUUGGAAGCAAAAGAAUGGCUUGAUAUGACAUACGCAGAAGGAGAGAACUUCAGUUUUUAAAAGACAUAGUAAAUCUCUAACCAAUAUUUAAAAAUGGACAACAGGGAAACUGACGAUUUAUUUAACAAGUAGAACAAAUACCAGGAUCAAAGAAAACAUCUUUCAGUAAAUACAGAAAGGGCCGUGAGGACAGAAAGAACUAGAGAAAAAGGGCAGAGUUUCCGUAGAACAGUAAAAAGAUACAAAGUGGUGAGAAAGGGACAGGAGCCAUUGGUGAGGAAAGAGCCUGGGAGGCCAUUCUAAGCCAAUAUUGGUGGAUUUUUUUUUUUUUUUUUUAGUAUUAUAACCAGUUGUUCAGCUGGGCAUGGGCUUCUAACCGUCAUCACUUCUUAAGCAAAACGUUUUGCCUUCUGGGUAAAGCUUCCUUACAGAUGCCGGGCUGCUUCAAAACCUAAACAUUUUCAGAGUAGACAUUAAAAAUUCAAAUGUCCAGUUCGUAUUGGUCCCUGUGGCUUCCAUAGAGGCCUUUCUGCUCUUGGAUCUUCAAUAAAGAGAUUUACAUAGUAUUCCUGCUCCCCCCCGCCCCGCCCCCAACUGUGCUCUGGAGUUUCCAGAAUAAUUGCCUAUGAGGUCCCUUUGUAAAAACUCUGUGGAAAAGAGUGGUGUGCCGAACUACAUUCACGCUGCUAAAUCACAGAAGGUCGUGAAGCUAGAGACAGGCUGUCUUCCACAUUUUAUUUCUCUGGCCCCAUCUUAGGGAAGAAUGCUGCUGCUUCUCCUCAAACGUCUUCUCCUUCCAGUUCCUGGGUUUCUAAUGCUCCCGUCGUGGCCAUCUUGUGAAACAAGCAAAGUGAUACAAAUCGUUAACUCUCUGAAAAACUACAGUAAAGGUUGGAGCCACUGAAAAUGUGCACUGCGGUCCGGACAGAAGCAUAGUAUUAAAAGAAUAAAGUUAACACGUUGAUACCUGGAGUUUACUUC